rnacentral:lncRNA from 1 species
AUGUAUUCACCAGGGGAGGAGCGGGAUGAAAGCGCUUUUAACCUCCCCGCCAUAAACUUUAAUCGGAUUCCGAGCUGUUGCACGGCAUGGACUCCUCGCCUCUUCUCUGCGUCUCCUUCCCCGUUGUCUCCCAUUUCUACUACGAUCUGCUUUGCGAGAGCCUUUUCCAAGCGAAUGAGUGAUUCCUUUCUCUUGCCAUGUGCAAUCUUUCCCCCCUCCCCUUUCUACCCUCUCUGGCCUCUCUUACACACACUAUGUCUUUCACAUGCGGUCUGUGCCCCCCAGCCCCCUCCCUUUCUUUCUCUUUUGCAGUGUCUUCGCAUGCAAUCUCUCCCUGAAUGUGCAAUGUCUUUCCUGCUCGGGAGUGCUGCGUCCUUCACAGUGGAUUGGUUCCUCUUUCGGAGCAGAGAUCACGGGAAAAGAGAAAAGCAGUCGAAUAUUGUGAUAAUCCUGGGAGCCUGCAGAAGCUGGUUGAUAGGAGACUCCAUGGCUCUUAUUGUGGAUGUACCUAAUUUACUACAGUUCCAAAAAGUUCAUAAAGACAAAAUAAGGAGAAGAAAAAAUUCUGCUUUUUAUCCAAUGUACUAUUCCUGGAAGAAGUUAAUGACUAGACUUGGUAUUAGUACUAUUCUGAAAGUUGUAAGUAAGAAGGAUAACUUCAGAGAUUUUGAUUUCACGACAGUUCCCACAAUAUAUCCCCCUUUUUAAAAGUCAGUUAUUAUUUUACUGAGCUUUAGAAUAUAACUUCUUCCCUCCAGGUUUGAAUUUGUAGUUAAAUUUUUGAAAAAAAGUCAUUGAUUCAAUGAUAUGUGAUAAUGAAGAUAGAUUGUUCAAUUUUAUAGAAUUGAUUAUGAAUUUUACAGAAAGUCUUGUUUAAACAAUUUUCAGCACUUUUGUACAUUUCACUAAGAACCUGAUCUUUUUUCAAGAUGCUACCUUUUGUCUGAAUAUUAAAAUCCACCCAAGUUUGUUCAAGCAAUAGUCCACUGACAUAAAAUUUGUGGGGUAUUCCUAAGUUUUCAGAAAAUAAUUUCCCCAAGGAUUUCAUUCACAUUGGAUCUGGUCUAAAAUGUAAUUGACUAACACCUUCUUGACAGUUUUAGCUCAUAGUCCAGAAAAUAUUCUCUUCAGACAUGUGAUCUCUCUUUGGGACAUGACAAUGUGAACUGAGGAUCUGCCAGGUGUAAACACCUGGAGAAAAGGUCUGAAUAGUAAGAAAAAGAUGAAGAAAGAAAGAUUCUUGUAUUUUCUAAAUAUCAAUGAUGUCAAAAGGAAUUGUGACAUUUAUUAUAAAGUUAUCCCACUCAUGCAUUGUUCAAAUAGCAAAGGCUUAUUCAGCAGAACAAAAUGAUGUUCUUAUGACCAACCAUGACAUCACUAAUAUAGCAUAUGACUAAUAUAUGUAUAUAUUUUGGUUUGUUUUAUUUUUUGACUGAGAAAUGAUAUAGUCAAAAUUAAUGUCCAAACUAAAGACUAUUAUCAAGAACAUCAAGCCAUCUGGACUUGGUCCUGGGCAACUGGCCCUAGGUGGCCCUGUUUGAGCAGUGUGGUUAGACUAGAUGACCUUCAGAGGUCCCUCUCAUCCUCAAUCAUUCUGUGAUUCCGAUUCUCUAACACUAUUAAUAUUGCCAGAUAUUAAUAUUUAUAUUUUAUAUUUAUUUAUAAUUAAUAUUGCAAGUUAGAAAAUAUCAGAACAAUGCUGUCAGCAAACCCUUGAUUCAGACAUCAUUGCACCAUCCAUUACAAUGUUUGAUUGCAAUCUUAUUACAUGUUCAUAUACUCUUUCCCCCAGUGAAUUUCAAUUUUAAAAAAUGAAUAAGUAAAUAAUAAAUAAAUAAAACACAAAGACA